rnacentral:lncRNA from 1 species
GGAACAUCCUCCUUGGGCCCUCUGCCAAACAACCUGAGAGCCCAUCAGGACCUCCUAAGGAGGGUAGCACUCAAUAUGGACCUCCAGGUGGAGGAGGUCCCGGAGGUAGAGGACCCGGUAUUGGACAUUCUAUCGGCGGAUGCCCCCACUAGAGUGGCCCUACCGUUUAUUCAGACCAUCCAGGCCAAUGCCGAUACUAUAUGGCAGUUGCCAGCCUCUAUCCCUUCUGCGGCCAGGGGAGUCAAGCGUAAAUAUAUGGUGCCCUCUAAAGGGUACGAAUACUUGUAUGUCCAUUCUCCUCCCUGCUCACUAGUCGUCCAGUCUGUUAAUGAGAGGGAACGCCAUGACCAGCAGGCGCCAGCCCUGAAAUCGAAGGAGGCUAGGCGAAUGGACCUACUCGGCUGCAAAGUGUACUCGGCAGGUGCCCUACAGCUCCGGGUGGCAAAUCAGCAAGCCUUGCUUAGCCGCUAUAAUUAUACCCACCGCCAUCCAGGUGUUAAGUUUACGGAGCUUCUCCAAGACUCCAGCAAAGAGUUCGCUGCCCUCUUGGAGGAAGGGAAAAAGGUGGCCAGAACUUCCCUCCAGGCCUCGUUGGAUGCAGCCGACUCAGCAGCCAGGACUCUGGCCUCGGGUGUUGCCAUGAGGCGCAUCUCAUGGCUUCAGGUUUCAAGCCUCCCACCGGAGCUGCACUAUACCAAUCAGGACUUGCCAUUUGAUGGUAAAGGCCUCUUCUCGGAAAAGACUGACCCCAGGCUGCAAAGCCUGAAGGACAACAGGGUCAUAAUGCGCUCUCUCGGCAUGCAUACGCCAGUGACCCAACGCAGGCCUUUCCGUCCCCAGCCUCACCGCCCAUACUCUGCGCCUAGACAAAGACAGGACUUUGGCAGGUGGCGCAGCCAAGGUGAUCACAGACGACCAUCAGGAUCCCAAGGGGGGCCAAAAUCAAGGUCCCUCAAAACCACCACUGGGACCAAAGACUAACUUUUGAAGGUGCACCUGAGGGCGGAGUACCAGUUACAGGCCAGAAUCCCUCUCCUCCCUUCUCCAACCGUCUCUCCUACUUCCUCCCGGCGUGGUCCCAGUUAACUUCAGAUCGCUGGGUCCUAUGCACGGUGGAGUAUGGGUACCACCUCCAAUUUAUUUCAGCCCCGCCCUCCAACCCUGUCCCUCUUCAG